CUAUGGCAUGUAGGGGUGCUGUGCGGUCUUUUUCAUGAUGAUGAAUAAUAAAAAAAUUUUUAAAAUUUUAUUUUAGAUCUGAAAUAAUGUAUAUUAGAUCUGAAAUUAAAAUUUUGAUCAUUAGAUGAUUGAUUAUAAAAAUAUUUUAUAAAAUUAAAAACUAUUUUCAAACAUCAAACCCUAAUCCAUAUCAGCCUAAA
rnacentral:lncRNA from 1 species